rnacentral:rRNA from 1 species
AUAAUCACUUGGCCUUUAAUUGGGGUCUAGAAUGAAAGAGAGAACGGAGACUAACUGUCUUACUUAAAUUAAUAAGAACUUAUAGUGCAGGUGAAAAUACUUGCAAUCUCAUAAAAAAGACGAGAAGACCCUUAGAAUUUUAAAGAAAUUUUAUAAGACUUAAUAUAAAAAUUAUUUUUGUUGGGGCAACAUAGUAGCAUACAAGAGUUCUAUCUAAAGUUUCUAAAUCUACAUGUAUAUCUAAUUAUAAGAUUGGCCGAUUUAAUAAUAAGUAAAAUUAAAUUACCUUAGGGAUAACAG